rnacentral:tRNA from 1 species
CGCUUUGCGGACCACUUGGGAGAGCGCCGCGUUCGCAACGCGGAGGUCGACGGUUCGAUCCCGUUCAGGUCCACCA